rnacentral:misc_RNA from 1 species
UCCGGUUUAUCACCGGCAGUCCCGGUAGAUCAUCUAACGACCGGCGAGGGUUGCGCUCGUUGCGGGACUUAACCCAACACCUCACGGCACGAGCUGACGACAGCCAUGCAGCACCUGUGCGGCACCCCUUGCGGGCACGGGCUUUCACCCGCUGUGAGCCGCAUGUCAAGCCCUGGUAAGGUUCUACGCGUCGCGUCGAAUUAAACCACACGCUCCACCGCUUGUGCAGGCCCCCGUCAAUUUCUUUGAGUUUUAACCUUGCGGCCGUACUCCCCAGGCGGAUGACUUAACGCGUUAGCUGCGCCACCUGAACGCUAAGCGCCCAGACAGCUAGUCAUCAUCGUUUACGGCGUGGACUAC